UUAUCAGUGAGGUACAUCCUUACCUGUUACUCCAAACAGGAGUAUCAGAAAAUGAUGAAUGGAGAAUGAUGAGCCAUGAUUAAUGUCUCUCUCCUGUUUGGUCGCACAUCCAAACAGGAGCCAUUCUGAU
rnacentral:snoRNA from 1 species